GAGAGCGAUAUAAAGAGAGCGAGGGGGCGGAUGUAGCCAAGUGGAUCAAGGCAAUGGAUUUGUGA
rnacentral:tRNA from 1 species